rnacentral:rRNA from 1 species
AUUGAACGCUGGCGGCAUGCCUUACACAUGCAAGUCGAACGGCAGCACGGGAGCUUGCUCCUGGUGGCGAGUGGCGAACGGGUGAGUAAUACAUCGGAACGUACCCUGAAGUGGGGGAUAACGUAGCGAAAGUUACGCUAAUACCGCAUAUUCUGUGAGCAGGAAAGAGGGGGAUCGCAAGACCUCUUGCUUUAGGAGCGGCCGAUGUCGGAUUAGCUAGUUGGUGAGGUAAAGGCUCACCAAGGCGACGAUCCGUAGCGGGUCUGAGAGGAUGAUCCGCCACACUGGGACUGAGACACGGCCCAGACUCCUACGGGAGGCAGCAGUGGGGGAAUUUUGGACAAUGGGCGCAAGCCUGAUCCAGCCAUGCCGCGUGAGUGAAGAAGGCCUUCGGUUGUAAAGACUCUUUCGGUUGGGGGUAAGG